AACGAACGCUGGCGGCAUGCCUAACACAUGCAAGUCGAACGAGACCUUCGGGCCGCUUGCCGUUCGGGUGCGUAACGGCGGGGAGCCGGCCCUUGGCUUGGAAAUAACCCGCCGAAGGGGGUUCAAUACCGGAAACAGUAGUUCGUACCAAAGAUCGUUGCCCUUCGAAAGGGCCGGCGUUGCUUUCCUUAUUUGAUAGGUUAAACGCCUAUCAAGGCAACGAGCAAUAGCUGGUCUGGGAGGCUGAUCAGCCACACUGAGACUGAGCCACGGCCCAGACUCCUACGGGAGGCAGCCGUGGGGAAUAUUGGAAAGUGGGCGGAAGGAUGAUCCAGCACUGCCGCGUGAGUGAUGAAGGCCUUAGGGUUGUAAAGCUCUUUUACCCGGGAUGAUAAUGACGGUACCGGGAGAAUAAGCUCCGGCUAACUCCGUG
rnacentral:rRNA from 1 species